UACGUAGGGGGCAAGCGUUGUCCGGAUUUAUUGGGCGUAAAGCGUGCGCAGGCGGUUCGUUGUGUCGGUGGUGAAAGCCCCGGGCUCAACCUGGGAAUGGCCAUGGAAACUGGCGAACUGGAGUGUGGCAGAGGGGGGUGGAAUUCCGCGUGUAGCAGUGAAAUGCGUAGAGAUGCGGAGGAACACCGAUGGCGAAGGCAGCCCCCUGGGCUAGCACUGACGCUCAGGCACGAAAGCGUGGGGAGCAAACAGG
rnacentral:rRNA from 1 species